rnacentral:rRNA from 1 species
AGAGUUUGAUCAUGGCUCUUGAUGAACGCUAGCGGCAGGCCUAAUACAUGCAAGUCGAGGGGUAACAUGAGUGCUUGCACUUGAUGACGACCGGCGCACGGGUGCGUAACGCGUAUACAACUUACCUUUAUCUGGAGGAUAGCCCGGAGAAAUUCGGAUUAAUACUCCAUAGUAUUAUAAGACAGCAUUGUUUAAUAAUUAAAGAUUUAUCGGAUAAAGAUAGGUAUGCGUCCCAUUAGCUAGUUGGUGCAGGUAACGGCUCACCAAGGCGACGAUGGGUAGGGGUUCUGAGAGGAAGGUCCCCCACACUGGCACUGAGAUACGGGCCAGACUCCUACGGGAGGCAGCAGUAGGGAAUAUUGGUCAAUGGAGGCAACUCUGAACCAGCCAUGCCGCGUGAACGAUGAAGGCCUUCGGGUUGUAAAGUUCUUUUGUAUGGGAAGAAACACAAUCCUGCGGGAUUGCUUGACGGUACCAUAAGAAUAAGCACCAGCUAACUCCGUGCCAGCAGCCGCGGUAAUACGGAGGGUGCAAGCGUUGUCCGGAAUUAUUGGGUUUAAAGGGUGCGCAGGCGGUUUUGUCAGUCAGAGGUUAAAGGCCGGAGCUUAACUCCGAGUUUGCCUUUGAUACUGCAAGACUUGAAAUACAUAUGGGUAGGCGGAAUUCCUCAUGUAGCGGUGAAAUGCACAGAUAUGAGGAGGAAGACC